rnacentral:rRNA from 1 species
UACAGAGUCCCGAGCGUUGUUCGGAUUCACUGGGCGUAAAGGGCGCGUAGGCGGUGUGUCAAGUCAGGCGUGAAAGCCCCGGGCUCAACCUGGGAACCGCGCUUGAGACUGGCACGCUAGAGUUCGGGAGAGGAUGGUGGAAUUCCCAGUGUAGAGGUGAAAUUCGUAGAUAUUGGGAAGAACACCGAUGGCGAAGGCAGCCAUCUGGACCGACACUGACGCUGAGGCGCGAAAGCGUGGGGGAGCAAACAGG